rnacentral:rRNA from 1 species
GUGCCAGCCGCCGCGGUAAUACGUAGGUGGCGAGCGUUGUCCGGAUUUAUUGGGUUUAAAGGGUGCGUAGGCGGUCCUAUAAGUCAGUGGUGAAAUAUCUCAGCUCAACUGAGAGGGUGCCAUUGAUACUGUAGGACUCGAGUGAAUUUGAGGUAGGCGGAAUUGACGGUGUAGCGGUGAAAUGCUUAGAUAUCGUCAAGAACACCGAUAGUGAAGACAGCUUACCAAGCUUCAACUGACGCUGAGGCACGAAAGUGUGGGGAUCAAACAGGAUUAGAAACCCUUGUAGUCC